rnacentral:snoRNA from 1 species
CUUCUUAUGCUAUUAAAGAACUGUGUGCAGUUUAAAUUGAUUAGAAACCAUUCCCAUUACUGACAUGC